rnacentral:rRNA from 1 species
GAGUUUGAUCCUGGUUCAGGACGAACGCUGGCGGCGUGCCUAACACAUGCAAGUCGAUCGGAGAAUUUCAAUAAGCUUGCUUAGCGGAAUCUUUAGUGGCGGACGGGUGAGUAACGCGUGGGUAACCUACCCAUAAACCCGGGACAACCCUUGGAAACGAGGGCUAAUGCCGGAUAAUCUUUAAGUUUGGCAUCAAGCUUUAAGAAAAGGUGGCCUCUGAAUAUGCUACCGAUUAUGGAUGGACCCGCGUCUGAUUAGCUAGUUGGUGGGGUAAAGGCCUACCAAGGCGACGAUCAGUAGCCGGCCCGAGAGGGUGAACGGCCACACUGGGACUGAGACACGGCCCAGACUCCUACGGGAGGCAGCAGUGGGGAAUCUUCCGCAAUGGACGAAAGUCUGACGGAGCAACGCCGCGUGUAUGAUGAAGGCCUUCGGAUUGUAAAGUACUGUCUUUGGGGAAGAAUGACUGGUUUGAAAAUAUUGAGUCAGUAUGACGGUACCCAAGGAGGAAGCCCCGGCUAACUACGUGCCAGCAGCCGCGGUAAUACGUAGGGGGCAAGCGUUGUCCGGAAUUAUUGGGCGUAAAGGGCGCGUAGGCGGAUAGUUAAGUCCGGUGUGAAAGAUCAGGGCUCAACCCCUGAG